CAGCAGCCGCCGCGGGAAUACGUAGGUGGCAAGCGUUGUCCGGAAUUAUUGGGCGUAAAGGGCUCGCAGGCGGUUUCUUAAGUCUGAUGUGAAAGCCCCCGGCUCAACCGGGGAGGGUCACUGGAAACUGGGAAACUUGAGUGCAGAAGAGGAGAGUGGAAUUCCACGUGUAGCGGUGAAAUGCGUAGAGAUGUGGAGGAAUACCAGUGGCGAAGGCGACUCUCUGGUCUGUAACUGACGCUGAGGAGCGAAAGCGUGGGGAGCGAACAGGAUUAGAUACCCCAGUAGUCCCUGUCUCUUAUAC
rnacentral:rRNA from 1 species